rnacentral:rRNA from 1 species
UACGGGGGAGGCAAGCGUUGUUCGGAUUUACUGGGCGUAAAGGGCGCGUAGGCGGCUGCACAGUCACUUGUAGAAUCGUCCGGCUUAACCCGGAGCGGCCAAGUGAUACUGUCGUGCUAGAGUGCGGAAGGGGCUAGCUGGGAAUUCAUCGGUGUAGGCGGUAAAUGCGUAGAUAUCGAGAGGAACACCUGCGGCGAAGGCGGG